AGAGAAGGAAAGAACGUUUGUUUAAUUAGCUAAUUGAAUUAUAAUUAUUUAUGGAUAAAUAUAUAUUACACAUAUAUACAGAUAUGGGGGAGAGAGCCGGAAAAGGUUUGAAGCGUACGGCGCAAAUAAAAAUAAUAAAUAAUAACAAUAAAGCGCUCUCUGCCGCUGUUAGCUCGCUGUUAACAGAUGCUCUCUCUGCUGCUGCUGCUGCCGCUCACUCUCUCUCUCUCUCUCUUUGGCAGGUGAACGAACGACACGCGACGCAAAAAGCAUGCGUCUGUGUGCGAGCGAGAGAGCGCGCAAGUUCAACGUGUGGCUUGGCUUUUUUUGUCGUAUUUUCUUUUUCUGCCGGGGCGCCGCCUCUAAUACAUACACACGCACACACGCCCACCUCUGACAUUGCACUCACAAACACACUCACGCACGCCGAGUGACAGCUGUUUCAAGUUCGAUUUCGAUUUCGAUUACUCUUUUUCGACUCUGUUGUCAAGGCGAAAAAUUUGGUGUGCAUUUUAAUUACAAAUGUUGAUUAACCCCACAACACACGAUACAUGUUCAUAUGUACAACCUACCAGCUGGCAACCCUGUUCUACGGAUGGGUGGUCUACAAAUAUCUUCGAGAUCGGAUCUCAGUCGACUCCCCCAACUCUGAUCAUAUUAGGAAAACCCAGAAACUCUUUUGGAUUAUCGAAAAGGACUUUUCAAUAGUUUGCGUUAAAUAUUAUUUAAUAAGAUUGUGUUUUAUUUUACCUAUGAAGAUUUGAUUUGAUGCGAAUUUGAUCUGUUUUAUUUACAGAUCAUAUUAGGAAAACCCAGAAACUCUUUUUUAUUAUCGAAAAGGACUAUUCAAUAGUUUGCCUACAAUAUUAUUUAAUAAGUUUGUGUUUUAUUUUACCUAUGAAGAUUUGAUUUCCAAAAAAGAAUCUACUUUUAAUUCCUCAUUUACCCCAGUGUAUCUGUGUGUUUUGUAUGGUAAUUCAAAACUGCGCAUUCAUUGAUGACGGAUGACGUCGCAGCUUUGACAGUGGCAUUGAAAAUUUCAAUUUCGCAAGCAGACUGCAAGCAACAACAACAAUAAUAAUAAAUACAGAACCAGAAUAAGAAGGCGCUCUCCAUUACUAUAUACCUACUAAAUAACAAAGGAAAGGAAAAGCAGGAAUGGAUUUAAAUUAAAUAAAUAUUUUCUCAUUUGAAAAUGUUUACUAAAUGCACCUUAAAGGGUAAUAGAUAUUUGAGAUCGUUGUUAUAGCCUUUUCUGAAGAACAUAAGAUCAUGUUUUAAUAAAUCACAUUUAAUAGAAAUAAACAAAGCAUAAGUAAUUUUAAGGAUUUAAAAAAAAAACAUGAUGCACAUAAAUUUCCUCAAAAUCGAGCGGGUAAUAAAACCUUUCCAAGAACUGUCAGCUAAAAAGUUAAUUCAUCUUUCUUAGAAAACAUAAAAUGUACAUAUUUUCCUGAAUGAACAAGUGUUUUAGUGGCUGAAUAAAAUAUUUCUGUUAUAUUAAA